CAUUCGCGUUUUGUUUACGUCGCGUUGAGAAUCGCGAUGCAACGGAAACGACUACCGUAAAAUGUAAAACAUCGAUUAUCAAAGCACUGAUUAACGGAACAAUCGAUUAUUUCAAUAUUGAUCGAUCUGUUUACCGAAAACGUGGAACACAUUCAGUGUUCGCAUUUGCGUCUUGUUAGUUUUGUUAUUGGCCUGUCGAAAAAUUCCAUGGUAUCCAUAGCAAGUUUUAGAUUCGGGUAACGAAACUUGUAUUAUGAUUUCACUUGGACAAUCGAGGUUUUACUAUAAUUUUUGGAACGCACCGUUCCAAAUUCAGCUACGUAUGCAGGACAUUCUCACUGCGUAUCUUCAUUGCCGAGACAGCUCUUCCAAAACAAAUAACGGAAGUAUCUGCCGUAAACAGAAUUAAAUAUCGAACACGCGUUUCGAACGUAUAAUAUACGAUCGCAUUGCCGUCAAACGAGGGGUUGACGUUUUCGCGAAGCGCGUUAUUAUCGCAAUUACUCACACCCGCGAAGAAAUGGUAAAAGAAAAAUAGUCUUGUGAGUACACCGAAAGAUCGCGCUACUCUUCGAGUCUGGUGCGCCUAGGCGGCGUGACGUGAACGUGGGACACAAUGAACAGGCUUGUUAAAAGGAGAAUAGCGCCGACAAGGAACAGGGGAGAGCAUUCUUGCACAAAUUGCGCGACGUCACGGUAAAAACUGGCGUACACUGUACGCGAUAGUCGCGACACAUUCUCAAGGAUAUCCGUGAACGUCUCACCAGCGGCUUCGCCGCUACCGCAACAGUCGAACGACAUCUGAUCGUUUUUUGAAGAUCACGAUGGCGUUUACGUUUCGGUUGCGCGGAAUUUAACACGUCGGAGUCAAUGGGUGAACAGGAAGCACCAGUAAGUACGCGUGCGUUUUAUAUAAAACGAGUCUUAGCGCGCUGCAACGCAAUCAAACGGGCUGGCUAAGCGGGUUUUCGCUUUCGACUGAAAUCGAAUGUUCCUCCGACUAGCCGGCUGGCGAUGUACUUGUGUUAGCGCGUGUGUGCCAGCGUUCGCGCACGCGUGCAUCGUUGUGUGCGAGGACACGGUGCGGUACACCGAACACGCGCAUUUCCACCAGCAUUCAGUAUCGGGUGUCGAGUAUCCUGACAAGUAAACCGUAGCCUGUAGGCUUCGCGUUACAAAACACCUAGUAACGACGAGAGUCGACCGAUUGUAUUACCCGCGUGACACGCGCGAAUCCUAUAUCUCGAUGAUUAACGUGCCAUUCUCGUUCAUCUUCACGGGAAAUGUGUACUCCCGCAGCUCAUUUUCCAAUUAUAUUUUAAAAGAAACGUAAUAGAAGGGUACAAAGAUGUUUGAGAAAAUAUAAGAUUCGACAGACAGUA